AUAAAGGUGAAAAUGAAAAGAAAAUUUCAGUACAUAAAAGUCAUUCUGCAGGUGUUGAAACAAAAGAAGGGCAAUGUAAAGUUGCUAUUUCUGAUACUAUUUUUUGACGUUAAAGACUCAAAAUUAGAUGUUUGCUACAAUGACAUCAAGGAGAAGUUCAAGAAAGUUACACCAGCUGCAAAAUUUCCAAAUGAGAAGAGUCAAAGAAUGUUUGCUACCACAAGAGCAAAUAAAGUUAUUUGUUCCAAGAAGAGUUUAGUUAAGCAAGCUAAAGUUUCUUAUGCUUCCAGCAACACAAAAAAUCUUUUGUUUAAGUUACAAGAAGUCAUAUUGAGCAUGGGAGAAUCAAGCAAGGUGAUAUGAAGUUUCAUCCAAUUAAAGAGUUGACAAGAAUUAUUUUGUGGAGCUGGUUUCUUACAAAAUAGAUGAUCUAAAUCCAAGUUUAAAGAGCUGAAAGUAAAGUUUAGAGUCUUUAAGAAAAAUCUCAAGAAGGAGUGUUGUAGUAUUGAGAUUUUUCUAGAAGACAUAAGAUCACUUUUUAGUUUUACGUAAUCCUUAAAUUCUGUUGUCAAAAUUGCUAGGUGCAAGUGUAAGUCUUUCCUUGAUUUAAGGAGAUUGAUUAGAAAAAAAUAAAUUGAAUCUUAUUGUAGUAGCUAUGGACUAUGCUUUUUAUGCUACUUUUGUUAUUAUACAAGUAGCCUAACCUAAUGAAAUCUAUGUGUGUGAUUCUACAUUUCCUAUCUUGAGUUGUGUGAGUUAGAGAACUUCUGUUUUAUGUGAGUUUGCUGUGACAAGAAAAUCUAACAGCAAAACUCCCGUGAUAUGGACUAGUAUAAAUAUUGUAUUUUCUGCCCUUACGGUAAAUUAGAGUUUGAGAGUUCAAAGUGAUUAUAUCUUGUUCUUUUUUUUAUAGUGGAAAUUUUUCUUUCGUUUUGCUUGUAGAUAUGGACCUUACGAUCGAACCACGUAAAUCUUGUGUUAUUUUUCUUCUUUUUUCUAUACUACGUGAUUGUGCGAUCAUGUGUGUAUUUUAAAUUUACAUGCCUACCAUAACAAACAGAGCAUUAAGCAUACAACAACAUGAUAUUGUUGGCUUUUAAUCCUAUAUGAACAAAGAAUAAGCAAAUUACAAUGAGUCAUUAAAUUUUACCGCAUGAAAAACUGCAGAAAUAAACACCAAGGCAACUAUAUCAUAAAUUUGGGACACCAAUGACUAAGCCUUCAUGAGUCAAGACCAGCCUGUGUCAACUGCCACUAAGUCCUUACCCUUUCGUCAAUGCUAAGAACGUUAGACAUAGAGAAGCAAACCUCAGAGUCCCCUCAUUAGACAUUACAUAUUUGCCAAAAAUGGAUUCUUCAGCCAUCCCUAGACCUCCUCUACCAGACAAAGGAAAACAGACCUCACGCUCAAGCCAACUAAUUAAAUGAUACUUGAACUUAAAAAUUCCAUCACAAGCUUUUCUAGACUGUUUUUCCUUUGAAUCUAAUAUGUAAAAAUAAGUAGAAAAUGUAUAAAGAAUAACUUUGAUCUGCAUUGACAUGCUAUUUGAUCAUUUUAGGCCUUCUAUUUUGACACCGACUCUAUUCCACUUUCUUUUCCCUCUUUAUUUGGAAAACAGGCAGGACCUUGCCAAACCCUGCUUGAUAUUGGUUAAUGAUCGUCACUAUAUAUCUAAAAGUUUUUUCCUUGACAAACAAAAGCUUGCCACUUGAGCUUUGAGUAUAUAAACUGCUAACAGAAUUUUCAGGAAAGCAAAUUUAGACACAACAAGAUACUAUUGGAUUAACAAUAGGGGAGGAAUUCCU
rnacentral:misc_RNA from 1 species